GAGUGAUCUCAGACUGAAUGCUGACUAAUUGUGGGCUGUUGUUGUUUCACAAAACCAGUGGUGGAAAGAUGGAAAUGUACUUUUUACUCCACUACUGUACAUUUGUCUGGCAUCUACUUUCUUAAAGUAUGAUUUUACAUACAAACCAUAGAAUCAUCUUACAUUACAUGAUAUUGUUAAGUAUUAAACCAUUCAACAGUGAGUUCAAGGACUAAAACGACCCCCUCUGCAUAAUGAAUACUUUUACUUUUGAUAUCUUAAGAUUGUCCUUGUCUCUGUCCCCUCUUCAGGGUUUGUUUCCUUUCACUUCUCCCUGUAUUUGUGUGUAGUGUUUUGCCCUUGUGUGCUUAAUAUUUUUUUCCUGUGUUGGUCUAUUCUGUUGUCCGGGGGCCGGAGAGAGCCCCCCCCCUUUGUUCAAUGUUAAAGGUCUAGGCUGGCAGCUAGCCUUAGCUACAUGUAUUGUUAGAGCUAAGAUAACUGAACCUGCACAUCCACAGGGCUGAAACAUUCAGCAAUUUACCGGCUAUGGUGUUCCUGGCUGCCUCACUGCCGCCCUCACAGGCAUCCAUAAAUUAGCCAUAAGAGUUGGGACCCUUCCUGCUAGGCUCCUCUCACUGAUUACAUUGUGCUGGAGGCCGUCUGGAAGAAGAAAAGAAAUCAGCCUCUAUACAGUAUAACCAGGCAGUCACAUGGGGCAAAGAUGGCUGAGCAGUGAAACCAGAGAUGCCUUGAAAGAAUCACUGCUGACUGAGACAGCGGCUUUGGGAGGAGCCAAGCAACACCUCAGAGCCAGACUGCUCGGAGGGAGGACUGGCCCCAUGCAUAAUUCAUGAUGCUAUUUCAGUUUUCGGAUAGUUCAUUCAAGCUAUUUCAGUGAGGCUAGUGACAAAUAACCCAGACUUAUGCUAGAUACCAAGUGGAAAAACUGUAGGUUUUUAAAACUCGUGGUUUUACCGACAGAGCUUGAAGAGGACUUUGCAAGGUCACUGUCCAGACAACUUAGGUGGAAACCAACAAUAUGGGAUGAUGGUAAUUAUCAAAGCAUAGAAAACAAGACAAAACUCCAAUUUAAAUCACUUUUAUAGCACCAUUUUAAUUUUUUAAUCCAUUUAUUGAGUUCUCACACUUAAAGGUGCUCUAUGCAUAGUGGCAGGUUUAUAACACUAGUAGUCCAUAUAUAAAGCACAUGUAAUUGGCAGUAAUCAUAAUAAUUCAACUUUAUUCUGAGAACUAAGGACAGCCUUAUCAAUCACACAUUAUUUACACCUGUAUUCAAUAUUAUUGGAGUUGGUCAAAAGCCUGAAUUUCUUUUUACAAGUCCAGAACAAACCAGCAAACAACGAAUGCCUACCCUACAGCUGAAUCCAACAUUUUCUGAGCUAAAAGAAACUAUUAUUUCCAUUUUCAAUAUAAAUCUUGAUCAUUUUGUUAGUUAAUCAAUUAACAGUUAUUUCAGAAAUCCCCACCACAUUUUCCUAGAGCCCAAGAUAAUAAGCUUUUCUGUCUAACAGUGUGCAGCCCAGAGAUCCUCAGGUUAUAAUAGUGGUCAGCACGUCUGCUGUAUUUGAGAAGCCAGUAUCAUUGAAUGUUUGCUAAUUUAACUUGAAAAUUGAUUAAGUCAAUUAAUGUUCUAAUAAUCUCUGCUUCAGCCAAACAAAAGUAAAAACCUCACAAAUGAAAAGUUUUUUUGUUUUGUUUUUUGAUUUGAAAUGCUUAAAAUAAAUCAACAACAGACAUGGUAAACAUUAAAGCUGGAAAACUUUAAGAAAUAGUUUAACAUUUU